UGGGCUUUUUUUAUUUUAAAAAUGAAGUUGAGUUAAAACUUCAGCUGUUUCAAAUUGUCAAACUCAGUUUGAAAUUUGAGUAAAAACUUAAGUUUGUUUUGAAAUCGGGGCCUGGUGUCCCAGGCUGGAUAUUGCUAAACAUAGUAACAACUAUAUUCACUCACCUUAUCCCGGAAUAUGAAUAUUUAACUGGACUACCCACAUUGUGUAUUCCAUUUGUUUCUAAAUGAGAACAAUCAAUUGCAAAAUAACUCAAAAUCGGGAAUAGCCUACAAAAUGCAUGCAUGGUACAUGGCAAUGAAUACCCUGUACCCAACAUCUUUCACUUGGUAUUUUUAUACCUAUCACUGAAAAUUAUGUUUAAGAAACGAUCAUGGGGUUAUGUUGACAUCUUAACAGGAGGGGUGCACAACAGUAGGAGGGAGAGGACAUGUACUACAGGUGCUUCCCAUGACAUGACAGCAAAAGAGGGGUCAUCUCAUAAUAAUUUUAGUCACAAUAUGACUCACUCAUGUAACAAGCCACUUCGUCAAAACUGCUUGUGUCACUGCUGAUGGUCACAACUAUAAUAUAUUUUUCAAUUCAUCGUUCUCAUUUCAAGUCAAACAGACUAAAGGUUACAAGGAUAGAGCAGUUUUUUUAGAAAGGGAGCUGUAGAGAUUGGGGAUCAAAUGAUUAGUUUGUCAAGGUCGUGUGUGUAGAAGAUUAACAACUCACCCAGUAGAUGUGUAUAUGGAACUCUUGUUGAAGAAAGCAUCAGAGCAAACCAUGGAUGUGUGUUGUGUGUGAGUGCUUCAGUGUAAUAAAUAUAUAAUACAGUAAA